rnacentral:rRNA from 1 species
UACGUAGGGUGCGAGCGUUAAUCGGAAUUACUGGGCGUAAAGCGUGCGCAGGCGGUUUUGUAAGCCAGAUGUGAAAUCCCCGGGCUUAACCUGGGAAUGGCAUUUGGGACUGCAAGGCUCGAGUGCGGCAGAGGAGACUGGAAUUCCUGGUGUAGCAGUGAAAUGCGUAGAUAUCAGGAGGAAUACCGAUGGCGAAGGCAGGUCUCUGGGCUGACACUGACGCUGAGAAGCGAAAGCGUGGGGAGCAAACAGG